GCUGGGCAUGGUGGCUCAUGCCUGUAAUCCCAGCACUUUGGGAGGCUGAGGCAGGAGGAUCACUUGAGCCUAGGAAUUUGAGACCAGCCUGGACAACAUAGUGAGAUCCUGUCUCUC
ensembl:misc_RNA Metazoa_SRP Metazoan signal recognition particle RNA